ACAUGGUAUAUCAGAAAAGACACCGUGUGGGAUUCCUCAACAAGAUAAUUUUAUUGAUAUGGGACAUGUAUUUGAUCCUGCUGAAGAGGGCUGCAGCUCAUCCCAAACUGUGGUGCUUCAGGGAUGUGCUGGGAUUGGGAAAACAGCUGUGGUGCACAAGUUCAUGUUUGACUGAGCAGCAGGAAUGGUUACUCCAGGAAGGUUUGACUAUCUCAUCUAUGUAAACUGCAGAGAAAUAAGCCAUAUUGCUAACCUUAGUGCUGCUGACCUGAUCACUAACACUUUUCAAGAUAUAGAUGGACCAAUUCUGGAUGUUAUUCUUGUGUAUCCAGAGAAGCUUCUUUUCAUACUUGAUGGAUUUCCUGAGCUCCAGCAUCCUGUAGGUAACCUGGAAGAGGAUCUUAGUGCUAACCCCCAGGAGCAGAAACCAGUAGAGACCCUCUUACAUAGUUUUGUGAGGAAAAAACUGUUCCCUGAAUCCUCCCUGCUGAUAACUGCCCGGCCUGCAACCAUGAAGAAGCUCUACUCUCUGUUAAAACAAACUAUCCAGGCCGAGAUGAUUUGGUUUACAAAUGCUGAAAAGAGAGCAUAUUUCUUGAGUCAGUUUUCAGGUGCUAAUGCAGCAAUGAGAGUCUUUUAUGAGCUGCGACAAAAUCAAAGCCUUGACAUUAUGUCCUCUCUUUCCAUCAUCUCCUGGAUGAUCUGCAGUGUCCUGCAGUCACAGGAAGAUGGUGACAGGAGUCUUAUGAGGUCACUUCAGACCAUGACUGAUGUGUAUCUGUUUUACUUUUCCAAGUGCCUCAAAACCCUUACAGGUAUCUCAGUGUGGAAGGGACAAAGUUGUCUGUGGGGCCUUUGCUCUUUGGCUGCAGAGGGACUACAGAACCAACAGGUCCUAUUUGAAGUCCGUGACCUCAGGAGACAUGGGAUAGGGGUAUAUGAUAUCAAUUGCACUUUUCUAAAUUACUUUUUGAAAAAAUCUGAAGGAAGUGUCAAUGUCUACACUUUCCUUCACUUCAGUUUCCAAGAGUUCUUGACUGCUGUGUUCUAUGCCCUAAAGAAUGACGGCAGCUGGAUGUUUUUUGAUCAAGUGGGGAAAACGUGGCAAGAAAUAUUCCAACAAUAUGGGAAAGGGUUUUCAUCAUUAACGAUACAGUUCUUGUUUGGCCUCUUACGUAAAGGAAAGGGAAAGGCUGUGGAAACUACUUUUGGAAGAAAAGUCUCCCCAGGACUUCGAGAGGAAUUAUUGAAAUGGACUGAGAAAGAAAUAAAGGAUAAAUAUUCUAUGUUACAGAUUGAGCCAAUGGACUUAUUUAAUUGUUUGUAUGAGAUUCAGGAAGAAGAAUAUGCAGAAAAGAUAAUUGGUGAUUUACAAUCAAUUAUAUUGUUUCAACCUAUCUACACAAAAAUGGACAUUCUGGCUAUGUCAUUCUGUGUAAAAAGCAGUCACAGUCAUCUGUCAGUGUCUCUGAAGUGUCAGCACCUAAUUGGAUUUGAGGAGGAAGAGCAAGUCUCUGCAUUCAUGAUACCAGUCUUUACACUUAAUCAGUCCUUCAAGCUAUGCAAUUUGCCAGUGUCUCGGCUACACUUGCUCUGCCAAGCACUACAUAAUCCAUGCUGUAAAAUCAAAGACCUGAAGUUGUACCGAUGCCUUAUAUCUCCUGCUUCUUGUGGGGCACUAGCAGCUGUUCUCAGCACCAGUCAGUGGCUCACUGAUCUGGAAUUUAGGGAAACAAAACUGGAAGCUUCAGCUCUGAAAUUCCUCUGUGAAGGCUUAAAAGAUCCAAAUUGCAAAUUACAGAAGCUCAAGUUGUGUGCUAGCUUUCCCCCUGAAAGCUCAGAGGUUGUUUGCAACUAUCUUGCCUCUGUUCUCAUUUGCAAUCCAAACCUCACUGAGCUUGACCUGAGUGAAAAUCCCCUGGGGGAUACAGGGGUGAAGUAUCUUUGUGAAGGUCUCAGACAUUCCAACUGUAAAGUGGAGAAACUAGACUUGAGCACAUGUUACCUAACAGAUGCUAGCUGUAUGGAGCUCUCUUCUUUCUUGCAAGUGAGUCAGACUUUAAAAGAGUUCUUUGUGUUCGCCAAUACCCUAGGGGACAUAGGAGUACAGCAUCUCUGUGAAGGUCUGCAGCAUGCACAGGGUAUAAUCGAGAGUCUUGUGCUUUCCCAGUGUUCCCUUUCUGCGGCUUGUUGUGAGUCCCUCGCCCAAGUCCUGAGCUCCACCCGGAGCCUGACAAAGCUGCUUCUAAUUAAUAACAAAAUUGAAGAUUGGGGACUGAAAUGGCUGUGCAAAGGAUUAAAACAGCCUGACUGUCAGUUAAAGGAUCUGGCACUGUGGACCUGCCACCUGACUGGAGAGUGUUGUCAGGAUUUGUGCAAUGCACUCUACACCAAUGAGUACCUGAGAGACCUUGACCUCAGUGAUAAUGCCUUAGGGGAUGAGGGUAUGUAGGUGCUGUGCUGAAACACCCCUCCUGUAAACUACAGACCUUGUGGUUAGCAGAAUGUCAUCUCACAGAUGCGUGCUGUGGAGCCCUUGCCUCUGUCCUCAACAGAAAUAAGAACCUAACACUUCUAGACCUAAGUGGAAAUGACCUCAAGGAUUUUGGAGUGCAAAUGCUGUGUGAUGCACUGAUUCAGCCAUUAUGUAAACUACAAACAUUCUACGUUGACACGGAUCAUUUACAUGAAGAAACGUUCAGAAAGAUGGAAGCUUUAAAAAUGAGCAAGCCUGGAAUCACCUGGUAGUUUCCAAGGAAAGCCCCUGAAUCAGCUGCAUAUAGACUCCCUCGAUCUGCCACCAUCUUUAACAGUUGUGCAAUAUUCUUGUUCUAAACCUGUUAACCAUUGCCAAGGACCCGGGUGUGAAACAAACAGCAGUGAUUUCUAUUUCUUACAUAGAAUCAUCCACUAAGUAGGUGUGAAAGGCAGAGGCACUUUAGUUCAAAUGUCUUCAGCAAUAAUACCUUACAUUCAUAUGUUGUAUUAUAAUGUUUACUAUGUUCUCACAGAAACCCUCAAAAGUGGGAAGAUGAGGCUCAGAUAGGCUGUGACUAGCUCUAGGUCACACAGCUCAUUAGUGAGAGAAUUGGGACUGGAAUCUAGCCAGGUUUUACAAUACCCAGACCAGACAGAGAAACAAUAGAAAAAGAAUGUGAAGGAGUCAACUUAAAGAAACAAGAUACUUGAAAUGAUUAAAGGGCAAGAGAGUAUACAAACAUAUAUCUUAUGGUGCUGAUUUUAAGUAAAACUAAUUCACAAAGGAAAGAGAGGAAUGAGUUCCAUUAAUAGGGAAAGGCUUCAUGGAGAUACAACUUGAUGUGGGCCUUGAGAAUGAGCAGGAUUGAGAUGGGGGGAGAUACAUAGGCCAGUGGCUGUAAGACUGCAGGCAACAGGGCUGUGUUUGUGAGCUGCUCGCCAAAAGCGCCUAGGGAGAGAAAAAUGUUUGCAUUAGAGUUUCCUGAGCUGUGGCAGUAUCUACAUUCUAGCUGAGGGUGUUCUCUAGUUUCCAGGCUCAACUCCUUUUCUGAACUUCUAAUACCCCAUGUGUUUGUUCUUAUUCAUGGACUCCUAUGGCUGACUCACUCCUCAUCCGUGACAACAAAUUGCAUGGCCUAGCAUGGAUCCUACACAACCCCAUGUUUCUCUCUGCCUAGCUUCUACAAAACACCAGAUGAGACAAGUAGAGGAAGGGAAUGCCAGGCAAAGAAAAUAGCACAAAGUCCAUGAUAUAGGAGUUAAUGUGGUAUGGGAUGGGCAGAAAAGUAGGCUGACCCAAUUAGAUACACAGGUGUCUCUGGAAGCUACUUGACUAGCUGUGUGACCCUGAACAAGUCAACUUGGAUUCUAAUAGUUUCUAGUUUCUCAUCUGUAAAAUGGGGAUAACUUCACAUUAACCUUAUAUGGCUGUUGUUCCUGACAUGGUGCUGACCCACAGUAGGUACUAUAAUGGUAGCUAUUUGUAUGAGUGUGUAAAUGUGAUACAACUCAGCUGUGUAGUCUUUGAGCUCCCAGAUUUUCCUGCUGUGUAGUCAGUGUUAACUGUGCAUUUGAACUAAAUGUGUGUGCUGGAGACAGUAAAUCUAGUGGGGGAAGAGACACAUAGUGGGAAGUUACUGCCCGCUAGAGGUCUAGCUGCUCCAUGUCCUCGUCCAUCAUCAUAUAUUGUUCCUUGCUGCCCUGGGAGAUGGUAACUUUCGGUCCGGAGACCACAUCUGGCCUGAGAUGGUCAAAACAGCACUUUGUUUCCAGUUUUCUUAAGUUCUUUCCUUUUAGUUAUUUAAGACAUUUAUUGACAAUUAUUAUGUGCCAGGUUUUGUGCUAAGUAUUGGCUUUAUAGAGAUGAAUAUGCCUUUCCCUGUGCACAUCCCCCUCCAUCUUCUCUGACUUCCCUGGUCCCUCUGUCAGUCUGGUAAAAAUCUGAUAAAACUCAGUCACAGUAAGAACUCAGAGAUAUAAUGUUGAAUGAAAGAUUGCAGAACUCUGUGUGUGGGUCUUUGUGUGUGUGUCCCAUUUGUGUAUAAAAGGAUAAAUACACAUGUAUGUGUAUGUGUCCAGAAUAUGUGUGGGAGAAUAUAUACAGGAAAUUGCCAAUAGGAGUUAUCUCUGUUAAGAGGAAUUUGGCAAAGAGGGGCCAUUUUUAUCUAUAGCCCUUUGUUCUACUUGAUGUUUUUACCAUGUGCAUGUAUUAAUUUUAUAAUUAAUAAACUUGAUGUUAAAAAUAAAACUCAUUUAUACUGAGGA